rnacentral:rRNA from 1 species
GACGAACGCUGGCGGCGUGCUUAACGCAUGCAAGUCGAACGGAAAGGCCCUGCUUUUGUGGGGUGCUCGAGUGGCGAACGGGUGAGUAACACGUGAGUAACCUGCCCUUGACUUUGGGAUAACUUCAGGAAACUGGGGCUAAUACCGGAUAGGAGCUCCUGCUGCAUGGUGGGGGUUGGAAAGUUUCGGCGGUUGGGGAUGGACUCGCGGCUUAUCAGCUUGUUGGUGGGGUAGUGGCUGACCAAGGCUUUGACGGGUAGCCGGCCUGAGAGGGUGACCGGCCACAAUGGGACUGAGAUACGGCCCAGACUCCUACGGGAGGCAGCAGUGGGGAAUAUUGCACAAUGGGCGGAAGCCUGAUGCAGCAACGCCGCGUGCGGGAUGACGGCCUUCGGGUUGUAAACCGCUUUCGCCUGUGACGAAGCGUGAGUGACGGUAAUGGGUAAAGAAGCACCGGCUAACUACGUG